CUACGCCGGCAGGCGCGGGUAACCCGUUGAACCCCAUUCGUGAUGGGGAUCGGGGAUUGCAAUUAUUCCCCAUGAACGAGGAAUUCCCAGUAAGUGCGGGUCAUAAGCUUGCGUUGAUUAAGUCCCUGCCCUUUGUACACACCGCCCGUCGCUACUACCGAUUGGAUGGUUUAGUGAGGCCCUCGGAUCGGCCCCGCCGGGGUCGGCCCACGGCCCUGGCGGAGCGCUGAGAAGACGGUCGAACUUGACUAUCUAGAGGAAGUAAAAGUCGUAACAAGGUUUCCGUAGGUGAACCUGCAGAAGGAUC
rnacentral:rRNA from 1 species